AACGAACGCUGGCGGCAGGCCUAACACAUGCAAGUCGAACGUGAAGCCACCUUCGGGUGGUGGAAAGUGGCAGACGGGUGAGUAACGCGUGGGAACGUGCCUUUCGGUUCGGAAUAACCCAGGGAAACUUGGGCUAAUACCGGAUACGCCCUACGGGGGAAAGAUUCAUUGCCGAAAGAUCGGCCCGCGUCGGAUUAGCUAGUUGGUGGGGUAACGGCCUACCAAGGCGACGAUCCGUAGCUGGUCUGAGAGGAUGAUCAGCCACACUGGGACUGAGACACGGCCCAGACUCCUACGGGAGGCAGCAGUGGGGAAUAUUGCACAAUGGGCGAAAGCCUGAUGCAGCCAUGCCGCGUGGGUGAAGAAGGCCCUAGGGUUGUAAACCCCUUUCAGCGGGGAAGAUAAUGACGGUACCCGCAGAAGAAGUCCCGGCUAACUCCGUGCCAGCCGCCGCAGUAAGAC
rnacentral:rRNA from 1 species